GAUAGUAGAUAUUUGGGGAAGUUCAAGUUUCACAAUUUGAUUGUCUAACGUUUUACCUAUAAAAUAGUUAUUUGAACUAGGGGGUAAGUUAACAGCAAGAACAGUGAGCACAGUGUUGGGAUAAAUUAGGGGCAGUGUAAACCCCAUACCAAAGAUUAGGAUCCUGAGGGUCUGGUUUCGGAUAGACAGUGGGGAGGCUCCACUGCACCCUGAGGGUCGUCCUCGGGGUUUCCCGAGUGCCCCUCACACCGCCCCGCCCCGCCCCGCCUCGCAGCGCCACCCAGGUCUGUGCCUGGCGGCCCCGGCCAUGCUGACCCUGCACCUGUGGUGUGUGCGUUUUUAGCCCUUUUUAAGACCCCAGUGUGGAAGUAAGUCUACACCUGCGGGGGACAGGUUCUCUGUAUGUUUAGUUAAAAAAUUGUUUGUAAUGUAUUUUUUUAGAAAUCUUAAAAUUGCCUUUGCACUGAACUAUUUUCAUAGCUGUUUAUAUCUCUUUUAUUCUUUUACUUGUUAAUGUAUCAUCUAAUAUUUAAAGUAUGUUUUUAAAGCUUUUGUUUUUUAAGUUACGACGUUUUUGGUCACUCUACAUUUAAAUUUUGUUGAGAGUUUUGGCUGAUGUUUCAAUAUCUGGUGAAUGGGAAUUUUCAGAUUUGAUUUUAUUCUCUGCACCUCUGUUUCCGGGUACUUUGGGGCCGUGAUUAGUUGGCAGGAGUAUUUAGGGUACAAUAAUUUGCUGUGCUUUCUCUUCACAAUCCGUUGCCGUUUCGUCUGCUUUUGCUUUUACUUUCCAUCCUUCAGCCUUAAGGACAGAAGACUGUCACGCGGUGCUCCGGGCGCUGCAGCCCAGCUCUGCCUGCGCCCUGGCUGCUGCCGUUUAUCCCUAGUAGUUCAAGUCUUAGCAUGAAAGUCACUAAACUUCCACACGCUUCAAAAUGCCUUCUAAGCAGAUGUUUGGGAAAUUAUUAAAGGAAUCUGCUUGAUCAUCUGAAAUAGAGAAGGGGCAGGAGAUUUAAAAUAAAAGGAGAAAAAGAAGAGCCCAGUGAAAUGACAUUUCAGGUGUGGUUUAACACGGUUUCCGUCUCCCAGCAGUUAGUACUGACCUGCCUCGGCUGACUUUACAGCAGGUGAUGUCAGCUUUACACACUUGCCUUUGUUCUGAAGGUCAUAUUCACUCCUGCACAUGCUAAUGAAUCAUCAACUUGUAAUUUGCCGUAUUGAUCAGGACACAAGGUUUCCAGUUCACAUCCCAUUUCCUCACUGCAGAUCCUUAGACGUGCUUGAGUGGGCCUGACUGCACCUGUGUCCUCUUACUUUCAGGUCCACGUUCACUCAAAGGCCGUGCACAUGUGCAAGCUCGUGCACACACACACCACACACGUGCUCACACACCACACAUCCAUGCGUGCUCUCCUUACAUUCUGAGGGCCCCUGAGAGGAGCCUCUGGCCAGGCCUGAGAGGACAGGGCUCCCUGGAGUCCCCCCCUGUAGGAUGAAGAGGCUCCUCCUGGCAAAGAUGUUCAGGGCUUUGCAGGGCAGGCCACGGUGGGUGAAGCUGCAGCUUUGCUGCCCUGAGCUGUUCUCUGAACAGCACUGCAGUGGCCUGGGCUGAGCUCUUCCCUUUCGGGGAAGUCCAGUCCCCCAGCUGGCACCUCCCCUCAGCCCAGCCCCCAGACCAAGUGCAGCAAGUGGGACCUGACCCUCCACAGCUGUGGGCCAUGUCUGUGUGCUUCUGGGAGCAUGGACCAGGCCUGUGCCACAUGCCAGCUAGGGAAACAGGCAUUUUUCUCUUUAAGUGAGACCAACCCCUCCCUGUGUGUUUCAGCGGAUGGGGUGGACAGGCAGAGCAACCCGCACCCACAGGGCCGGCGUGCCUGAGACCCUGGUGGGCCGUCCGGAUGGGGGGUUGUGGGGGAGGCUUAGACAGCACAGCAGAUGUGACAAGCCAUCCAGUAACAGGUGAUUCUCCAUUUGGCUUGCUGAGCAUUUUGCAUCUUUAACUACAAAAAUGCCUCAUACAGGCUGUGGUGACUGUUCUAAAGUGUCAAGCACCGGCCAGUCUGUUCAGUGCAGUCUGAGGGCCUCCGGCCUCGCUCCUUAAACCACUGAGUUCAUGUGUUUUGCACUGACUAGUAUUGAACCACUGCAGCCACUCUGUUUUAUCUUAAAAUUAAUAUUAUUUAUUUGACAACACAAUAUAACAGCUUGGAAUUUAGGCCCGUGCAUUCUGCAUUUCUUUUGGAACUUACCCAUUUGUAACUUUAAAAACAGAGAAAAUACCAGCUGGCAAAUGCAAUCCUCUUUUUUAGGUAUAGGUGGUGAAAAUGAGUGAGAGUCAUUCGGACGCUGCGUCUACAAAGCAAGCUUAAUGAAGAUGUCUCGGAAGUGUUAGAAAGCGUGACUCUACUUUUGCAGAAAAAAACCUAAAGAUCAGUUUAUAUAGCUUUAUUUUUACUUUAUCAAAAUAUACAAAAUUUUAAUACGCAUAUAUUGUCUCUGACUGAACAUUAUGUGUCUGCGCUACCAUUUAAAAUGUCCAUUCUUUAUGUAAUGUAAUAAAAGAGAAUCUUCAAAAAUGUAUUUAAUGUGAAUGGUAUCAUAGUUGACAUCAUAAAUCCUGGAAUUUAUUUUUAAAUUAUUCAAUGUAGUAGGUACAUGCAAUGUAAGUCAGCCUCCAAACAGCAAUGUUCACUGAUAUUUCAUUAACCUGCUUUGAAAAAUUAAAUUGUGAAUUAAACCAAA